rnacentral:rRNA from 1 species
AUACAGAGGGUGCGAGCGUUAAUCGGAAUUACUGGGCGUAAAGCGCGCGUAGGCGGUUAUUUAAGUCAGAUGUGAAAUCCCUGGGCUCAACCUAGGAACUGCAUCUGAAACUGGAUAACUAGAGUUUAGGAGAGGGGAGUAGAAUUUCGGGUGUAGCGGUGAAAUGCAUAGAGAUCCGAAGGAAUACCAGUGGCGAAGGCGACUCCCUGGCCUAGAACUGACGCUGAGGUGCGAAAGCGUGCGUAGCAAACGGGAUUAGAAACCCUAGUAGUCC